UGUCCAUUCCGCCAAUUUAUUACGAGUUGCCUUUUUUUUAUUGUUUGCUCUCCUUCACAGAUGUUAGGUCAACACUUUUUGGGUGGUGGUGUUGGUGUUGGGGAGGGGGGAGGACUCCCGGUUCUAACGGAAUUUGUUGUGGCUUCUUCUUCUUCUUCUUCCUUUUUUCGGUCUCUUCUCUCUUUCAGUUCAUUCGGGGGCCUGUUUUUGGAAUAAGAAAAAGGCAUUGCUGUUUUCUGACUUUGAGUGAAGAAAGAAGGGACUCCUCUGGAAUUUCCUAAGGAAUUUAUUCGGACAGCCCAUGGUAAGUGCAGAUUUUUGUACACAGAGAUAUGUACAUAUAUAUACAUAUAUUUUUAAAAAAAGCUUCACGUUUGAGAAGACACCCAGCUAUCCAUUACUAAGUUGAUCUCUUUGAAUGAAAAAUAACAACACGAAGCGCAUCGCUCAUUUUUUUAUUUUCCUUUUUUAUCUACAGUUGCGAGGGCUUUGCAUUCUUCCGCCUGGGUAUAGAAUGUGACCAACCAUUCCACACUAGGGAAAUUCGGAGGAGUUCUGUUCUUUCGUCGCUCUGGUCCGAGGCAGCAAUCGCAGCUGAUUAUUCCAAACGGGUAAGAUUGGAAAAAAAGAAAACAACAACAACAACAAAAAACUCAAACCCUACAAUUGUGUUAUUUAAUCUGAGAAACUCCACUGAUGACAGCCACUCCACUGGGGGAUUUCUUUCUUUUUUUUCUUCCUCCAGCGUUCAAAUGUCAGCAGUGCAGGAGAAUAAUAAUGUCAACCCACAGAAAUCAAAUCAGGGGUCAGACAAAUAAAUGAUGUUAGUAUGGAUUAAGAUAAAGGUAGAAUACAUGUCAGGACAUGAUGCAUUGCUCACUUGUAGCAAAUAUUUUUCUUCUUUGUCUGACUUUUAUUAUGAACCGGGAUGAAUGUUGCACAAACUAUAGAAAAAUAAAUGAGUGCUUUUGCAAAGGCAGACUUCUGUAAUCAUAUUUCUUAUUUUUUAAUGCAGUUUGAUUCAAUAACAGUUUGGGAUUAAUUCCACUGAUGCUGUCAGUAGGCUACCAUGUUGGGCUGAUGACACACAAAGCAUGCUAACGGUGCCCUCUGCAGUUCAGGGAUCUCCACUGCUGCUGCUCUACAGUUUUAAGAGCAAAGCUGUUCUCAUAUGUGUGAUGCACGCUGUUACACUAUAUUUGGACCUGCGAACACCCUGAAUCUUCAGAAUCACCUGCCGUAUUAAAAUAGCAUCAUUGCAGUGUAUAAUUAUGCUAUUCUCCUAAAGCCACUAACGCUUUAAUCUGCACUAACUAAAGUUCGCACAACUGCAAACGCCGAACUGUACUCGGCUAAAUCAUGAUGUCUCUCUCAUUAUCAUCAUCAUAACAACGUUCCAGCUGGGAUAAUUAAAAGUACAGUUCAUGUCCUUUGGAAGUGAAGCCAAGUUACCCUCUAUCACAGCGGUGUUUUUCAGAUCAAUGAACAGUCCCGUGGUUUCCCCCGGAGGACUUGCGGGUGCAGCUGUAAUUGGAGCGUUUGUGUUGCUCUGAGUUACUGCUCCCCGGGCAGAGGCCAGCGCACACCAGAACAUUCUUCCACAUGUCCACAGGAUUUCCAAUGAACUCAUCAAAUACACUCGUAGGGGAAGCGUGUUGAGAUCAAAUUAUCACACGCUCUGUUCUUAAGGAGGAUUGAGACCCUCAUUUUUAUUUCCUGUUCCUGCUGGCAGCAUCACAUAUAUCCCUAAGUGUGUUAAGUGAGAUCGCAGGCACUAAGAAUGAAAGAUCUUUUUCAACAAGGCUUCGGAUGCUACUCGAUGCCUUGUUGCAAUUACCGGGAGCAUUUGUAAAAAAAUUUGCAGGAGGCACAGGUGGCACGCUGAUUCAAAUUAAAGGCGACGGCGACAAAUGCGACAUGCGUGGAAAGGCUAGGCAAAGACAGUUAAAUACAGAUAAGUGAGGAAGGCUAACUUUGCGUAAAUGACAGGAACAGAGUUGUCACUAUCACGCUUCGCUACUGUUGGAAGCCAUUCGAAUGCCCUGUUUAAGAGCCAUUAAGUCAUUAAAUUUAAAUCGAAUUCGCUGUUUCUUUUCAGGGAAGAAAAAAAACAUUAGGGGCACUGUUGUUAAAAGAUGCUGUAAUGCAUUUUUACCAAGAACUGCGGGUACAUAGGUGCCCUACGCCUGUCAGAUGGAGUCGUGUUAUAUAAAGUGGAAUUCACAGCAGUAGCAGGUGACCUGGUUUAAAAUAGCAGCCGAGAAGAAAAAAAGUUUCCUGAAAGUAGGAAGUCUACUUCGUCAAAGUGCUUACAGUAACUGUGAAGUGACCCGUUAGCACUGAAAAAUGAUGCGUCUUUGGAGUAUUAAACAACCGAAUCACUUAAAACUGUACAGCGUUGCGGGCUUUUACUGCGUCCUUGAUGUGGCCAAAAUACAAAAGUAAUCUUUAUUUUUGUGUUUUGGGACAAACUGUUAGGUGGGUAGGUUUAAGCUCUUUUGGAGCAGGUUAAAUUGUCAAGGAUACAGAAGUAGGUGUAGCGUUUAAGACUAAACUGGCUUCAGUAUAUUAUAUCAUGGUUGGCACUGUGUGUGUGUGCAUCCAUCCAAGUGUUGUGGGCCAGACCUGGCUCCAAUGAUUUAUUACACUGCUUGAAGGGAUUUGUACUUUCAUGAGGUCACAUGAGUAGCAUGUCAGUCAGGCAUAGCAAAGUGUUCUCUUUGGCCCCGCUGGCAAUUGGUAGGCAUGCCAAAACAGAAAGAAAAAAAAAAAAUCCUGUUUCCAGCACAUAGUCAGGUACACCAGCAGGUAUGCAGUGUUACACACACACCCACACACUUACAGAACCAAAUACUGUAAUCCAGCUUAGCACUGCUUUAUCACCUGAGCAGGAGGCAGACGUUAUGCAAAUGCACGUAGGAUAUUCCAG
rnacentral:lncRNA from 1 species